GUGGGGAAUUUUGGACAAUGGACGCAAGUCUGAUCCAGCAAUGCCGCGUGCAGGACGAAGGCCUUCGGGUUGUAAACUGCUUUUGUACAGAACGAAAGGGCUCUGGUUAAUACCUGGGGCAGAUGACGGUACUGUAAGAAUAAGCACCGGCUAACUACGUGCCAGCAGCCGCGGUAAUACGUAGGGUGCGAGCGUUAAUCGGAAUUACUGGGCGUAAAGCGUGCGCAGGCGGUUUUGUAAGACCGAUGUGAAAUCCCCGGGCUCAACCUGGGAACUGCAUUGGUGACUGCAAGGCUGGAGUGCGGCAGAGGGGGAUGGAAUUCCGCGUGUAGCAGUGAAAUGCGUAGAUAUGCGGAGGAACACCGAUGGCGAAGGCAAUCCCCUGGGCCUGCACUGACGCUCAUGCACGAAAGCGUGGGGAGCAAACAGGAUUAGAUACCCUGGUAGUCC
rnacentral:rRNA from 1 species